ACGCGAAGGGGCUUCGGCCCUAAGUAGAGUGGCGAACGGGUGAGUAACACGUGGGUGAUCUACCUUCGAGUGGGGGAUAACGUCCCGAAAGGGACGCUAAUACCGCAUGACGUUCUGGGUUUGAAGACCUGGAAACCAAAGCCGGGGACCGCAAGGCCUGGCGCUAGAAGAGGAGCCCGCGCCUGAUUAGCUAGUUGGCGGGGUAACGGCCCACCAAGGCGACGAUCAGUAGCCGGCCUGAGAGGGCGGACGGCCACACUGGGACUGAGACACGGCCCAGACUCCUACGGGAGGCAGCAGUGGGGAAUUGUUCGCAAUGGGCGCAAGCCUGACGACGCAACGCCGCGUGGAGGAUGAAGGUCUUCGGAUUGUAAACUCCUGUUGAUCGGGACGAAUGGGCUCCGGUCUAACACGCCAGAGCAAUGACGGUACCGAUUGAGGAAGCCACGGCUAACUCUGUGCCAGCAGCCGCGGUAAUACAGAGGUGGCAAGCGUUGUUCGGAAUUACUGGGCGUAAAGGGCGCGUAGGUGGCCUUCUUAGUCAGACGUGAAAUCCCCGGGCUUAACUCGGGAACUGCGUCUGAUACUGGAAGGCUAGAGUUCGGGGGAGGAAUGUGGAAUUCCAGGUGUAGCGGUGAAAUGCGUAGAUAUCUGGAGGAACACCGGUGGCGAAGGCGGCAUUCUGGACCGAAACUGACGCUGAGGCGCGAAAGCCAGGGGAGCAAACGGGAUUAGAUACCCCGGUAGUCCUGGCCCUAAACG
rnacentral:rRNA from 1 species